ACUGCGGUAGCCCAGUUGGUUAGGGCGUCGGCAGUACUGAUGCCUAGGUCGCAGGUUCAAAUCUGCCUGCGAUG